CCUACGGGAGGCAGCAGUGAGGAAUAUUGGUCAAUGGGCGGGAGCCUGAACCAGCCAAGUCGCGUGAGGGAAGACGGUCCUACGGAUUGUAAACCUCUUUUGCCGGGGAGCAACGGGGUCCUUGCGAGGGCCCGAUGAGAGUACCCGGAGAAAAAGCAUCGGCUAACUCCGUGCCAGCAGCCGCGGUAAUACGGAGGAUGCGAGCGUUAUCCGGAUUCACUGGGUGUAAAGGGAGCGUAGACGGCCAUGCAAGCCAGGGGUGAAAGCCCGGGGCCCAACCCCGGGACUGCCCUUGGAACUGCAUGGCGGGAGUGCGGGAGGGGCAGGCGGAAUUCCUGGUGUAGCGGUGAAAUGCGUAGAUAUCGAGAGGAACACUCGUGGCGAAGGCGGGUUCCUGGACAUUAACUGACGCUGAGGCACGAAGGCCAGGGGAGCGAAAGGGAUUAGAUACCCGUGUAGUC
rnacentral:rRNA from 1 species